CAGCAGCCGCGGUAAAACGUAGGGUGCAAGCGUUAAUCGGAAUUACUGGGCGUAAAGCGUGCGCAGGCGGUUAUAUAAGACAGAUGUGAAAUCCCCGGGCUCAACCUGGGAACUGCAUUUGUGACUGUAUAGAUAGAGUACGGCAGAGGGGGAUGGAAUUCCGCGUGUAGCAGUGAAAUGCGUAGAUAUGCGGAGGAACACCGAUGGCGAAGGCAAUCCCCUGGGCCUGUACUGACGCUCAUGCACGAAAGCGUGGGGAGCAAACAGGAUUAGAUACCCCGGUAGUCCCUGUCUCUUAUAC
rnacentral:rRNA from 1 species